UAUACACACACACACACACUAUAUAUAUAUAUAUAUAUAUAUAUAUAUAUAUAUAGUGUGUGUGUGUGUGUAUA